rnacentral:rRNA from 1 species
UGCGUAGGCGGAUUGUUAAGUCAGUGGUGAAAGUCUGCGGCUCAACCGUAGAAGUGCCAUUGAUACUGGCAGUCUUGAGUACAGUAGAGGUAGGCGGAAUUUAUGGUGUAGCGGUGAAAUGCAUAGAUACCAUAAAGAACACCUAUAGCGAAGGCAGCUUACUAUACUGUAACUGACGCUGAGGCACGAAAGCGUGGGGAGCGAACAGGAUUAGAUACCCUGGUAGUCC